CACUGAAAAAAACGACUUUUUGGUGCAGUAAAAUCUAUUAGUGUAACUGUCAUAAUUUCUACAUUGUAAUUUUAAGAUUCAGUGAGAACUAGAAAUUUUCAAGUAAAACUAUGUAUUUUAUUCACGUAAUGAAUGAAUUGUGUGGGGAGAGUAAGUUUUAUUAUGGUUUUCCUCAUAUUAUUUAAAUGUUUAAUAGUCACUGCACAUAAACCUAGAUAUACUAAGUAAAUUUUAAUCUAAUAUUGUAUAGUGUGUGUUUGAAUCCCGCACAUGCGUAUUGCGCACCGUUCGUGUCCGCCAAAUCACACACACUUGGAGGAGGACGGUUGGAGCUGUUGCACGGCUGAGUCAUCUCAAGCGGUGAGCCAAUACAGUGGACAGUUGAGGUCUAGGGAGGACAGAUUCACAGGUCAACACUGGUGUCAUCAGGGAGAAACAGUAGACCUAGGCCACGAGAUGGUGCCAGGAUGUGGCAGUACUGCCAAAGCUUGCACGCUGCUUAUGGGGCUGAUUUAUGCCCUGAACCUUGCAUACCCCCCAACACUGCGCUACACUUUUGAGGUGUUUCAGAAACUUUUCCUGGAACUGGAUGGGAGUAAGCUGUCCCCAAAAGUGCACGCUUUAAAGUUGAAGUUGCUGUCUUAAAUGCUAUCGCACUGGCAAGGACAAUCUCGGCUGCUGGUACACCCCAACUCACAUCUCCAUCUUUCAAAUGACUGCCUACACCCUAAUGGAGAAAUACUGAGAAUUAUCACCUUGUUUUAAAGUUCAAUUUCAUCUUGGCUAAUCCGUGUAGGAAGUUGUCUGCCUGAAAUAUUUUCCAUUUUGUGUCAGCUAAGGCAUGUGUUAAAUGCGGAGAAAGGGUAAAGGAAAAGUAGAAAUGUUAAUACUUAAAGCUGUUGAUCAUUUUUAAUCGAUUCAGUUGAUUUGAGUACAUUAAGGUUUUAAUGGCAUACUUAAAGUGCACUAGUUCAUUGCUGGCUUGAAUGUUGAAAUUACACUGUUUCAGAGGGUUGUAUGGUCUUAAUUGAAUAUUUGAAAAGCAUCUUUCCAGAUGAUGUUGAUUUGUUAAAUGUUAGUAAAAUAAACAUUUAAUUGUA